UGGCUCAGGAUGAACGCUGGCGGCGUGCUUAACACAUGCAAGUCGAACGAUGAUCCGGUGCUUGCACCGGGGAUUAGUGGCGAACGGGUGAGUAACACGUGAGUAACCUGCCCUUAACUCUGGGAUAAGCCUGGGAAACUGGGUCUAAUACCGGAUAUGACUGAUCAUCGCAUGGUGGUUGGUGGAAAGCUUUUUGUGGUUUUGGAUGGACUCGCGGCCUAUCAGCUUGUUGGUGAGGUAAUGGCUUACCAAGGCGACGACGGGUAGCCGGCCUGAGAGGGUGACCGGCCACACUGGGACU
rnacentral:rRNA from 1 species